UCAACUCUCCUCUCCUCCUUCAUCCAGCUCUCCUCUCACAUCCCCCUCUCCUGGCCCCAACUCUCCUCUCCUCCUUCAUCCAGCUCUCCUCUCACAUCCCCCUAUCCUGGACUCAACUCUUUGGGAGAGAACACACAGAGAGAGAGAGAGAGAGAGAGGGGGAGAGAGAAGACAAUGGAAUAGAGAAUCCUUGGAUUUUAUACUUGAUGAUGUUUUGACGGACAGACCACCAAACAGAGACGAAGAAGAAAUAAGGAAAUAGGGAAAGAGAAGAAGAGAAGAUGUUGCUAUUGAAUGUGUUUAACAGGCUUUGGUCUGGCAUGUGUUUAUUUGAAGUUCUGCUUUGACCUUUGAACCUUUUUGAAGGACAUUAGCCGCUGCUUUAGACUCCUGAACAAUCAACCAAUCACCUGAACAUUGGCUACAUUCCACUUCUCUUGAAGUGAUCACAUGUACCCCCUGGUGGAUUUAAAAGGCAUGGAAUGGUUACAGUAUAUGGUGGCCAUUGUGUCCACCUGGCUGAAGGGAUCCUCCUCACUCAGAUCACAGAUCCAGGAUCAGCUUAUCCUCCCCAUAUCCAAUCGGGGUUUUACACGCAAAACUGAUCAUAGAUCAGUGUCUAAAGACAACUACAUAACUGGUCUUUUAAUUGUUCCUUUUGAUUGUUUAAGGAAAACUUCAUCCUCCUCUGAGGCUGUGUCCCAACUGGCACCCUGUUUCUUUUAUAGUGCACUGCUUUUGAGCAGGGCCCCGAGGGCUUUGUGCACUGCUUUUGACCAGGGCCCCGAGGGCUUUGUGCACUACUUUUGACCAGGGCCCGAGGGCAUGGUGCACUGCUUUUGACCAGGGCCCCGAGGGCUUUGUGCACUGCUUUUGACCAGGGCCCCGAGGGCUUUGUGCACUGCUUUUGACCAGGGCCCCGAGGGCAUGGUGCACUGCUUUUGACCAGGGCCCCAAGGGCUUUGUGCACUGCUUUUGACCAGGGCCUAUUGGACUCAGUGCACGGCCCUGGUCAAACGUAGUGCACUAGGAAUAGGGUGCAUUUGGGACGCAGGCCGAGUCACCUACUAGGAUGCAGGGCAGUGUUCAGGAGUGUCGACAGUGAGCAGCACCUGUGUAACCUCACAGACAGGAAGUCAGUGAGCAGAACCUGCGUAACCUCAUAGACAGGAAGACAGUGAGCAGCACCUGCUUAACCUCAGAGACAGGAAGACAGUGAGCAGCACCUGCGUAACCUCACAGACAGGAAGACAGUGAGCAGCACCUGCGUAACCUCAUAGACAGGAAGACAGUGAGCAGCACCUGCUUAACCUCACAGACAGGAAGACAGUGAGCAGCACCUGCGUAACCUCACAGACAGGAAGACAGUGAGCAGCACCUGCGUAACCUCACAGACAGGAAGACGGUGAGCAGCACCUGUGUAACCUCACAGACAGGAAGACGGUGAGCAGCACCUGUGUAACCUCACAGACAGGAAGACAGUGAGCAGCACCUGUGUAACCUCACAGACAGGAAGACAGUGAGCAGCACCUGCGUAACCUCACAGACAGGAAGACAGUGUUCAGGAGUGUCGACAGUGAGCAGCACCUGCGUAACCUCACAGACAGGAAGACGGUGAGCAGCACCUGCGUAACCUCACAGACAGGAAGACAGUGUUCAACGUGCUUCAUUCAGAACAACCUUUGGUCCGACAGAAAACAACAUUCAUUCAAACCAUUAUGCAACCUCUCUGUUGGAGUUAGAGGCUGGGGAUGAUGUUGACAGUGGAACACUUUGUAACCUCCAGACUAAACUGUUAUUGUUAGCAGGUCUAUGUAUUUUUGUAACACUGUCUAUGGGUUGUUUAGAACAAACAGUGGACCUCUAAGAUGAUAGAGGGAGAGGGAGACACGGGACCAGAACAGGACAGUUUUUUGUGUCAGUGUUUUUUUGGGGAAAUGUAAAGGAUACAUUUUAUACAAAAGUGAAGCCGCUUCAAAUACCCAAAACCCCUUGUCCCCUGAGCCUUCCCAAUCCCAAACAUAUACCCAGCCCUGCCCAGCCUCUACCCUCACUUCACCUGGUCUAACCUAUUCAUGACAGGAUAUACCCAGCCCUGUCCAGCCUCUACCCUCGCUUCACCUGGUCUAACCUAUUCAUGACAGGAUAUACCCAGCCCUGCCCAGCCUCUACCCUCACUUCACCUGGUCUAACCUAUUCAUGACAGGAUAUACCCAGCCCUGCCCAGCCUCUACCCUCACUUCACCUGGUCUAACCUAUUCAUGACAGGAUAUACCCAGCCCUGCCCAGCCUCUACCCUCGCUUCACCUGGUCUAACCUAUUCAUGACAGGAUAUACCCAGCCCUGUCCAGCCUCUACCCUCACUUCACCUGGUCUAACCUAUUCAUGACAGGAUAUACCCAGCCCUGCCCAGCCUCUACCCUCACUUCACCUGGUCUAACCUAUUCAUGACAGGAUAUACCCAGCCCUGUCCAGCCUCUACCCUCGCUUCACCUGGUCUAACCUAUUCAUGACAGGAUAUACCCAGCCCUGUCCAGUCUCUACCCUCGCUUCACCUGGUCUAACCUAUUCAUGACAGGAUAUACCCAGCCCUGUCCAGUCUCUACCCUCGCUUCACCUGGUCUAACCUAUUCAUGACAGGUCUGGUCUAACCUAUUCAUGACAGGUCUGGUCUAACCUAUUCCUGACAGAUCUGGUCUAACCUAUUCAUGACAGGUCUGGUCUAACCUAUUCAUGACAGGUCUGGUCUAACCUAUUCAUGACAGGUCUGGUCUAACCUAUUCCUGACAGGUCUGGUCUAACCUAUUCCUGACAGGUCUGGUCUAACCUAUUCCUGACAGGUCUGGUCUAACCUAUUCCUGACAGGUCUGGUCUAACCUAUUCAUGACAGGUCUGGUCUAACCUAUUCAUGACAGGUCUGGUCUAACCUAUUCAUGACAGGUCUGGUCUAACCUAUUCCUGACAGGUCUGGUCUAACCUAUUCAUGACAGGUCUGGUCUAACCUAUUCCUGACAGGUCUGGUCUAACCUAUUCAUGACAGGUCUGGUCUAACCUAUUCAUGACAGGUCUGGUCUAACCUAUUCAUGACAGGUCUGGUCUAACCUAUUCCUGACAGGUCUGGUCUAACCUAUUCAUGACAGGUCUGGUCUAACCUAUUCCUGACAGGUCUGGUCUAACCUAUUCAUGACAGGCCUGGUCUAACCUAUUCAUGACAGGCCUGGUCUAACCUAUUCAUGACAGGUUUGGGUAAAUAACAGGAGAAAUGUGAUAACUAAAACACCAGAGAACUGGGGAGAAAAUAGGAGUCAACAUCAUAAACUGACUGACAUACAAUGAGUGUACAAAACAUUAAGAACACCUUCCUGAUAUUGACCCCUCCCCCCUUUUGCCCUCAGAACAGCCUCAAUUUGUCGGGGUAUGGACUCUACAACGUGUUGAAAGUGUUCCACAGGGAUGCAGUUGUGUCAAGUCGGCUGGAUGUCCUUUGGUUGGUUAACCAUUCUUGAUACACACGGGAAACUGUUGAGCGUGAAAAACCCAGCAGCGUUGCAGUUCUUGACACAACGGUGCGCCCGGCACCUACUGCCAUACCCCCUACCAUACCCACUACCAUACCCUGUUCAAAGACACAUUUUUCUUGCCCACUCACCCUCUGAAUGUCCCACAUACACGAUCCAUGUCUCAAUUGUCUCAAGUCUUAAAAAUCCUUCUUUAACCACUGAUUGAAAUGGAUUUAACAAGUGACAUCAAUAAGGGAUAAUAGCUUUCACCUGGUCAGUCUAGGGGCGGCAGGUAGGCUAGUGGUUAGAGCGUUGGACUAGUAACCAAAAGGUUGCAAGAUCAAAUCCCAGAGCUGACAAGGUGAAAAUCUGGCGUCCUGUUCCUAGGCCGUCAUUGAAAAUAAGAAUUUGUUCUUAACUGACUUGCCUAGUAAAAUAAAUGUCAUGGAAAGAACAGGUGUUCAUAAUGUUUUGUACACUCAGUGUAUAUGUAAAUAAAUGAAAUGUAAACACACAUUGAAAUGAAUUGCAAACCCAUUGAAGUGAAUGUAAUGUAUUUCAAUACAGGGUAUUACAUCUGUAAAAACUAAUCAAUCACUCACCACCAGCAUUUACUACAGGACUGAGUUCACGUCUCCGUGUUUCACAGCUGUGUUGUGAUUGGAUACGUUUUGCAGUUCUAGGCUCUCAUUGGAUGAUUUUGCUAGUUGUGGGCUUUCAUCUCACUCUGUGUCACUUGUUCUCAUUGAGUUAUUUGUUGUAAAUGGUCGCCAGCUGUUACUGUGUUAGAAUGUCCUAUUAGGUCUCUGUUCUGUCUGUCACUCUGUCAGACUGUCCUAGCAGGUCUCUGUUCUGACUGUCACUCUGUCAGACUGUCCUAGCAGGUCUCUGUUCUAUCUGUCACUGUGUCAGACUGUCCUAGCAGGUCUCUGUUCUGACUGUCCUAGCAGGACUGUUCUGUCUGUCCUAGCAGGUCUCUGUUCUGACUGUCCUAGCAGGUCUCUGUUCUGACUGUCCUAGCAGGUCUCUGUUCUGACUGUCCUAGCAGGUCUCUGUUCUGACUGUCCUAGCAGGUCUCUGUUCUGACUGUCCUAGCAGGUCUCUGUUCUGACUGUCCUAGCAGGUCUCUGUUCUGACUGUCACUGUGUCAGACUGUUCUAGCAGGUCUCUGUUCUGACUGUCACUGUGUCAGACUGUCCUAGCAGGUCUCUGUUCUGACUGUCCUAGCAGGUCUCUGUUCUGACUGUCCUAGCAGGUCUCUGUUCUGACUGUCCUAGCAGGUCUCUGUUCUGACUGUCCUAGCAGGUCUCUGUUCUGACUGUCCUAGCAGGUCUCUGUUCUGACUGUCCUAGCAGGUCUCUGUUCUGACUGUCCUAGCAGGUCUCUGUUCUGACUGUCCUAGCAGGUCUCUGUUCUGACUGUCCUAGCAGGUCUCUGUUCUGACUGUCCUAGCAGGUCUCUGUUCUGACUGUCCUAGCAGGUCUCUGUUCUGACUGUCCUAGCAGGUCUCUGUUCUGACUGUCCUAGCAGGUCUCUGUUCUGACUGUCCUAGCAGGUCUCUGUUCUGACUGUCCUAGCAGGUCUCUGUUCUGACUGUCCUAGCAGGUCUCUGUUCUGACUGUCCUAGCAGGUCUCUGUUCUGACUGUCCUAGCAGGUCUCUGUUCUGACUGUCCUAGCAGGUCUCUGUUCUGACUGUCCUAGCAGGUCUCUGUUCUGACUGUCUUAGCAGGUCUCUGUUCUGACUGUCCUAGCAGGACUCUGUUCUGACUGUCCUAGCAGGUCUCUGUUCUGACUGUCC